rnacentral:rRNA from 1 species
AUGCAUAUGCUGCAGUUUCUUCUUCCUCCGAUCUGCAAGGUCAUGGCCGAAUCACUGCUUCUCCCUGUGGUGGAAGGCCUGGCCGGCAAGGCCGCAGACGCGCUCGUCCAGACCAUGACCCACAUGUGUGGCCUGGACGACGACCGCGAAACGCUGGAGCGCCAUCUGCUAGCCGUCCAGUGCAAGCUGGCCAACGCGGAGGAAAGGAGCCAGACGAAUGCCUACCUCAGGACCUGGAUGCAGAAGCUCAAGGACGUCGCCUACAAGGCUGGUGACGUGCUCGACGACUUCCAGUACGAGGCGUUGCGCCGCGAAGCCCAAAUCGGCGAGUCCACCUCCCGCAAGGUACUCAGCUACGUCACGCGCCGCAGCCCGCUGCUCUUCCGUUUUGCCAUGAGCAGAAAGCUCAAAGGAGUUCUCGAGAAGAUCAAGGGGCUCGUUGAGGAGAUGAACAUGUUUGGCCUUGAGAAUUCUGUCAAUCGGGAGGGGCCGCAACUUCCUUGGCGGCAGACACACUCCAAACUGGACGAGUCUACCAACAUCUUUGGAAGAGAUGAUGACAAGGAGGGGGUGGUGAAGCUGCUGCUAGACCAACAAGAUCAGCGGAAUGUGCAGGUGCUGCCCAUCUUCGGUAUGGGAGGUCUUGGCAAGACGGCACUUGCUAAAAUGGUGUACAAUGACCAAGAGGUCCAGGAACAUUUCCAGUUGAAGAUGUGGCACUGCGUGUCAGACAAUUUUGAUGUUUCUGCCAUUGUGAAAUCCAUCAUUGAAUUGGCUACAAAUGGAAGAUGCGACCUGCCUGACCGCAUCGAACUAUUGCAGAAGAACCUUGACGAAGUCAUUGGCCAGAAGAGGUUUUUUCUUGUUCUUGAUGAUGUAUGGAAUGAAGAAAAGAAGUUGUGGGAGGAUGAACUGAAGCCACUGUUGUGUUCUGUUGGUGGACCAGGAAGUGUCAUAGUGGUCACAUGUCGAAGCAAGCAAGUGGCCUCUAUAAUGCAAACAGUCGAUCCCGUUGAGCUAGCAUUUCUGAGUGAAGAAGAUUCAUGGGAAUUGUUUUCAAACAAAGCAUUUAGCAAUGGUGCAGAGGAGCAAACAGAGUUAGUCACAAUCGGAAAACGUAUUGUCUACAAAUGCGGGGGCCUGCCUCUUGCUCUGAAGAUAAUGGGUGGUUUGCUGAGUUCAAAGCAACAGGUACAUGAAUGGAAGACCAUUGAAGAAACUAACAUUGGGAAUAAUGUUGGAGGCAAAUAUGAGGUCAUGCCCAUACUGAAGUUAAGCUACAAACACCUGUCAUCUGAAAUGAAGCAAUGCUUUGCAUUCUGCGCGCUUUUCCCCAAGGAUUAUGAGAUGGAGAAGGAUAUGUUGAUCCAACUAUGGAUGGCAAAUGGCUUUAUUCAAGAAGAGGGAACAAUGGAUUUAGCACAAAAAGGAGAAUUCAUUUUUCAUGAAUUGCUUUGGAGGUCCUUCCUACAAGAUAUGAAAGCUGCAGACAAAUCUGAUGGCUAUGCAUAUGGGAUAAUUGUAUGUAAAAUGCAUGACUUAAUGCAUGACUUAGCCAAAGAUGUUAGCAAUGAAUGUGCCACCAUAGAAGAAUUGAUUGAACAGAAAGCAUUGGUAAACAAUGUAUGCCAUCUGCAAUUACCAAAAUGGGUUGAAUUGGAAAAUACUUCCAGGUUGUUUGAUGGCAAAACAUCUCUCCACACUUUGUUAGCUCUUUCAUGGGUGCAGCAGGAUUUUGACUGCCACAUGUAUCAUUACGAGCAUUGCAUUGGCAGGGUUCUAGCACCAGUUUGA